GGAGUGGGGGGAGUAACUAGUCGAAAGACUAGCUAAUACCGCAUACGAUCUACGGAUGAAAUGGGGGAGUCGCAAGACCUCAUGCUCGUGGAGCGGCCGAUAUCUGAUUAGCUAGUUGGUGGGGUAAAGGGCCUACCAAGGCAUCGAUCAGUAGCUGGUCUGAGAGGACGACCAGCCACACUGGGACUGAGACACGGCCCAG
rnacentral:rRNA from 1 species